rnacentral:rRNA from 1 species
UACAGAGGGUGCGAACGUUGUUCGGAAUCACUGGGCAUAAAGCGCACGUAGGCGGCACCGCAAGUGUGGGGUGAAAUCCCACGGCUUACCCGGUGGAACUGCCUGGCAGACUGCGGUGCUAGAGGUUGGUAGGGGAGAGCGGAACUCUUGGUGGAGCGGUGAAAUGCGUAGAUAUCAAGAGGAACACCGAUGGCGAAGGCAGAUCUCUGGGCCAUUACUGACGUGAGGAGCGAAAGCGUGGGGAGCGAACAGG